rnacentral:lncRNA from 1 species
GAAGAAGGAGAAAUUAUUGCUGGGAUUUCUGCUUCACUUUUCAAGUUGGCGGCCGAGUGACAUUGGUGCAAUUUUUGGAGGUGUUCUCACAAUCUAUAAGUUGGAUUGGGCUAAAAAUUCUUGAGCAUUUAAAAGACUUGCAUUGACAAUUGUAUGCAAAAUUCCACAUCAAGUGGAUGGUCGGAUUGGAUGUUACAACUUGUUAAAGCUCAUUGAUUAGGAUUGGGAUUUAUAAGAAAAAAAUCUAAAUUGCUUAAAUAUGAAUGUAAUAAGGUAAUUAGGAUUUAUGUAUGGUUAAGACUACUAAGAAGAGUGUUUUAAGCACUUUUGAAUUGAAAUUCAGAUUCUAUUCUUCUCGCAUAAGUAAAACCUAUUAGGGUUUUUUGGCUACUUAUGAAACACAAUCUCACCUUUCACAGCUAGGUGUCCGGUGCAUUCCUGAGCUAAACAACACGUUAUACGACAACGGGUACUUAUUCUUGAUGGUGAUUUUAUUGAAUCCUUGAUAAUCGACACACAUCUA